UAAGGAAUAUUGGUCAAUGGACGCAAGUCUGAACCAGCCAUGCCGCGUGGAGGAUUAAGGCCCUCUGGGUUGUAAACUCCUUUUAUCUGGGAAGAAAUGUACUUUUUCUUGAGUACUUGACGGUACCAGAGGAAUAAGCACCGGCUAACUACGUGCCAGCAGCCGCGGUAAUACGGAGGGUGCAAGCGUUAUCCGGAUUCACUGGGUUUAAAGGGUGCGUGGGUGGGCAGGUAAGUCAGUGGUGAAAUCUCCGGGCUUAACCCGGAAACUGCCGUUGAUACUAUUUGUCUUGAAUAUUGUGGAGGUAAGAGGAAUGUGUCAUGUAGCGGUGAAAUGCUUGGAGAUGACAUAGAACACCAAUUGCGAAGGCAGCUUACUACACAAUCAUUGACGCUGAGGCACGAAAG
rnacentral:rRNA from 1 species